AAAAGCCGUGUGCAAUGAAAAAUGCAAGCACGGUUUGGGGAGGGGUUUUGAAUUAAAGAAAGUAAAUUUAUUCCAUUUUUGACUUUCACAAAAACAUUAUCUACUCCAU
rfam:Ipomoea nil chloroplast DNA, complete sequence, cultivar: Tokyo-kokei standard